AUUGAACGCUGGCGGCAUGCUUUACACAUGCAAGUCGAACGGUAACAGGCUUUCAGGUGCUGACGAGUGGCGAACGGGGGCGUACUGCAUCGGAAUGUACCCAGAGCUGGGUGUUAACGGAGGGAAACGUGUGGUAAUAUCGCAUGUUAUCUGAGACUGACAGCGGGGGAACGCAGAGGAACGUUUGGCCUCGCGCGUUUGGAUGGGCCGAUGUCGGAUUAGCUAGUUGGUGGGGUAAAGGCCCACCAAGGCGACGAUCCGUAGCUGGUCUGAGAGGACGACCAGCCACACUGGAACUGAGACACGGCCCAGACUCCUACGGGAGGCAGCAGUGGGGAAUUUUGGACAAUGGGCGCAAGCCUGAUCCAGCAAUGCCGCGUGCGGGAAGAAGGCCUUCGGGUUGUAAAGCGCUUUUGGCAGGAAAGAAACGGUGUACGCUAAUACCGGGCGGUAAUGACGGUACCUGCAGAAUAAGCACCGGCUAACUACGUG
rnacentral:rRNA from 1 species